ensembl:lincRNA
UGUUCCUUUAUUGCUGUAAAUUCCUAUGUUUGCAAAAUAUAAUCAGCCCAGUACAGCAAGUAAACAUGAUUGUUAUUUUUAUUUAUUUCAGCCAUGACUUCUCAUCGUCCUCAAGAAAUUUCACCAGAGCAAAGAAUAAAAGAGGGAGAGGGAAGAUAUGGAAAGUCGGCCCUAGAUUAUUUACCACUAAGAAAACAAUGGGAAAAUAUAGUCUCCAACAGUUAAAGCAAGAGCCAGUAAGUGUCUGUACCAGUGCUGGAUGAGAAGAAAGUUAUAGAAAAACAUCCAUAUGAAGUUGAUUGCAAGUAAUAGAAUGGAUAUCUGGCCAAGAACAAGGAGUCAAAGGCCACUUCAAAUGUCUUGGUGACAAAAUGUGAAAACCCAGAUAAAAAUAAGUUUGUGGGAGGAGAAAAGUGAAGACCAAGUCCAGCAGUGGAGAUGCCUUGCAGUUUUCAUUCACCAUAGGUGGGUGAUUUGUUCCAGGCCAGCAAUCCCCAAAGGAUUGCAAAGUGCAUGAAUUUAUGUAUACAGUUUGCAGACAGCCUGCUCACAUCCUCCUGUAAGUUAAAUUAUCUCUGGGUCACUAAUACAAUUUGAUACAGGACUUGGGAUGGGGCUCAGUUACAGAGUGCUCACCUAGCACUUGUGAGGCACUGGAUUUGAUCCUUAUCACCACAUGAAAAUAAAUAAAUUGAAAAUAGGUAUUGUAUCCAUCUACAACUAAGAAUAUCUUUAAAAAAAAAACUGGUACAAAGUAACCACUAUGUAAGUAACCAUUAUACUAUUGUCAUUACUUGGGAGAAAGUCUAUACAUUUACUUGGUACAUGAGCAAAUCAUGUUCAAAUCCUUCCCAUAUACCAGGGUUUGAGACCUUGGGGGCAGAAUCCAGGCAUGUGGCUGCAGGUAUUUCCAAUCCCUGGAGAACACCCAGGACAGGUUGUUUAGAAAAGGCUUAGAAAUAUAUUGUAGGAAUUCCAAUAACAUCUGGCCCAGAGAGAGGCAAGGAGAGGGUCAGGGUCAGAGAUGGCACCUGGGAAAGCAGGGGGUGACAAGCAGAGCCUUGAGUUUUGGGGUGGCAAAGAGGACAGGCAGAACCUCUGGGGACACAGGGACGGUGGACAGGUAUUGUGAUGGGGAAACACUGAAUUCUUGAGGAAGCAGAUGGAGAGAAAAGAUGUCACCAUUAAUAAAAUUAAAAAUGAGGACAGAAUAGAUUUUGAAGCUCAGGAAGUCUUGACAUUCAAACUCCUCCUCCAUUCCAGAAGAUUGCAUUUCCCUUUCUGAGCAGAACACAUAGUGGGUUUUGUUUUGUUUUGUUUUUGUUGUUCACUGGUUUUGAAAGAUGAUUUAUGGCCCAUAAUUAAGGUUUUCUCUAGUUGCUGGUCACACAGUAUUGGUCUCUACUUUUUUCCAUUUUUCAUGAAUAUCUAACAACUGGCCUAAUGGUGGAUAGUAAAUUUAUAAGCCAGUGAUUAUAUUUUUAAAAUGCAAAAUUAUUAUGGAACUCUAUAGGGUGAUACAUAAUUGGUUCUCAAAGGUGCAGCUCAUCCCUGCUUUAGUUUAUCUAUCUGCCUAUUUUUAGUGCUGGUGGUGGCUCUACCACUCAGCUACAUACUGAUGCUGAUAGAUGUGUAACAUGCAGACAUGAUUGAUGGGAUCAUGCAGGUCAAGGAGUCAUUUUAUAAACCUGGCCCUCUGUACAGACCCCCAAUUUUCUUUUAGAAAAGUAAUUUACCUAGAGUCCUGCCUGGGCCAAGUCAAUGUCCAAUCUUCCAUUCCUCAGCCAACAACCUGUGAUUUCUGUUAGAAGUGAUUUCUACUCUGCUUGAGAACACAAGUUACCCUGGAGGGAAUAAGUUCUGGGACACUUUCACAGACCAGACUCCAGAACUCAAGGAGAUAGGAUGAUUGAAUGUAUGUAAGAACCAUUCCAGACCAGCAUGGGCCAAAGUGACCUAGUUGUCCUGGAUCUUUGGCAUGUCAACUUCCUGUUCCUGUCACUAAUGUGCAUCUGCUAACUACUAUUUCAGACACAUCCCUCACUCUAUCAGGUAUUAGCUUAUUUAAAGACAUAGGGAAGGGAAAGAGGUACACUCUCAAGUGGGAAUGUCCUCUCUGAUAGUAUGUUGUGCCCCUAUUUUCCUACUGGUCCCAGAAACAUUCCAAUGAAAACUGGUCAGUGCAGACCAAGGUGACUUAAGGGUUGCAUUUAUAUAUUUAGAAUAUCAUCUUCAACUUUUUUUAAAUAAGUUUUUUCUGUUGAUUUUUUAAAAACUAAAUGACAACAGAAUGCAUUACAAUUCUUUAUUACACAUAUAAAACAGUUUUUCAUUGCUUAUUUAUAUAUAAAGUAUGUUGACACCAAUUUGUGACUUCAUUCAUGUACUUUGGAUUAUGAUGUCCAUCACAUUCCACCAUUCUUGCUAACCCCCUGCCCCCUCCCUUUCCCUUCCUCCCCUAUUUCCUAUCUAGAAUUCAUCUAUUCCUCCCAUGCUCCCCCUCCCUACCCCACUAUGAAUCAGCCUUCUCAUAUCAGAGAAAAUAUUCCACAUUUAGUUUUUUUUGGAAUUGGCUAACUUCACUUAGCAUUAUCUUCUACAACACCAUUCAUUUACCUGCAAAUGCCAUGAUUUUAUUCUCUUUUGUUGCCGAAUAAAAUUCCAUUAUGUAUGUAUUACGCAUAUAUUUUUUAAUCCAUGCAUCCUCUAAACGGCAUCUAGGUUGGCUCCACAGUUUAGCUAUUGUGAAUUGUGCUGCUAUAAACAUUGAUGUGGCUGUGUCCCUGUAGUAUGCUGUUUUUAAGUCCUUUGGGUUUAGACUGAGGAGUGGAAUAGCUGGGUCAAAUGGUGGAUCCAUUUCCAGAUUUCCAAGGAAUCUCCAUCCUGCUUUCCAUAUUGGCUGCACCAAUUUUCAGUACCACAAGCAAUGUAUGAGUGUAUCUUUUCCCUACAUCCUCACCAACACUUAUUGUCAUUUGUCUUCAUAAUAGCUGCCAAAAU